UUUAAUAAGUAUUUUGAUAUCCUUAAGGUACUGUCUUGUGGUGACAGAAAAAUGACAACUGAUAGUCAAAUGCAUGAUGCUGGAACGACUAUGGCAGUAACUAGUAUUGCCACGACGAGUCGUCCUAAUGCUCCACAAGCUAUGAAACCAACGGAGAAACCCGAAAAGUUCACGGGUAUUGACUUCAAGAGAUGGCAGUAGAAAAUGUUUUUCUACCUCACAACUCUGUGUCUUCAAAGGUUUACGGUUGAGGAAGCUCCGAAGGUGCCCGAGGAACUUUUGAAAAAGAACGCUUUGUGAUUGUAGAGGCUUGAAAACACUCAGAUUUUCCUUGCAGGAAUUAUAUCUUGAGUGGUCUCCAAGAUGACCUCUACAGUGUGUAUAGUGAAACCAAGACUGCAAAAGAGUUAUGGGGAGUGCUAGAACGAAAGUACAAGACGGAGGAUGCCGGAACUAAAAAGUUCUUUGUUGCAAGAUUCUUGGAGUACAAAAUGAUAGACAACAAGUCUGUUGUAGACAACUAGUCUGUUGUUUCCCAACUGCAGGAACUGCAAGUGAUCAUCCAUGAUCUCCUAGCGGAAGGUUUGAUUGUGAAUGAAGCAUUUCAAGUAGCGGCAAUAAUAGAGAAGCUACCACCUAUGUGGAAAGACUUCAAAAACUAUUUGAAACAUAAACGUAAGGAGAUAUCAGUCGAAGAUCUGAUUGUAUGACUACGCAUUGAAGAAGAUAACAAGGCUGCGGAAAGAAGGUCAAGAGGCAAUUCUGCAAUGAGUGGAGCAAACAUUGUAGAAGAUGACCAAAACAACUCUAAAAAGUGAAAGAAAGCUGGAAAUAAAAACAAUCAACCCAAGAAGAAAUUCAAAGGAAAGUGCUUCAACUGUGGCACGAUUAGCCACAAGUCUACGGAUUAUCGUUCCCCGAAGAAAGAGAAGAAGAAGGACCAAGCAAAUCUGGCUGAGUCUAAGAAAGAAAUGGAUGAUCUGUGUGCUAUGCUUUCCGAAUGCAACUUGGUGGGAAUCCCUUGCGAAUGGUGGAUGGAUUCUGGUGCCACCCGCCAUGUUUGUGCUAAUAAGGAGUUAUUUUCGACAUUCGUUUCGGCUCAAGUAGAAGAAAAAAUCUACAUGGCAAACUCCAUUACUGUAAAAAUGGAAGGAACAAGAAAGUGUACUUGAAGAUGACUUUCGACAAAGUGUUGACACUUAACAAUAUCCUGUAGUUCCUGAGUUACGAAAGAACUUGAUUUCUAUUUCACUUCUAGACAAGAACGAAUUCAAAUGUGUAUUUAUUUUCGAAAAAAUUGUACAUAGCAAAGAAGAAGUGUAUGUAGGAAAAGGCUACCUCAAUGAGGGCCUAUUCAAAAUGAAUGUUGAAAUCAAUAAAAGUUCAAAUUCUUC